AGGGGGUGUGUGGGGCAUGAAUAAGGCACCGACGUCAGCCAUGUUCUCCUUUUUCUAUCACCCCUUCAAAAAAAAAGAAAAAGAAACCCACUCCCCUUCACUUCUCCUCCUCCCCCCUGAGCCUUGGGUGAGUCUUUCUGGAGACAGCACCCUCUCCUUUUUGAUGUUUGACAACCGAGAGAGAGAGGGGGGAGGGGUUAGGGGAGGUGGGGAGCACCUUUCAUCCAACGGAUGCUAUCCUAAAGGAAAAGACUGUGUGUGUGUGUGUGUGUGUGAGUCUGCAGGUGCAUAUUGAGGGAUUUUGGGCUGUGCAGGGUCGAAGCAUCUGCAAAAUUGUGCGAAAAAUACUCUUUGAACAACAGGUUCAAGGAGGGAGGUGUUAUCUUACAGGGUCAUUAAUCCAAGUCUGAAAAAUAGUGAGUCAUUUUGUUGCAAAAACCCUCCAAAAACUAGACUUUGAAGGGAUAUUCCGGUGUAAAAUUAAUUAAGGGUCAAACACACCGCAACACCGAGUUAGAUAACCCCUCGAGAGAUGAAUGUUGCCGAUCGCUUGCUUCUCUAGUUAUACCAACUUUAGUAACAACCACAGGAUAGCAAUACACAGCGGUCUGAGGAGCCAAAAACAAACCUCAAUCAAAACGCCACUUUAUAGCCACAAAUAAUGCUCAGAACAGCACCUAACUUCAUCAACAGUACAUAUAGGGUCCCAGCCACAGCACUAGCCACCAAACAUCUUUUUAACUUUGCGUAAUUUCUUUAGCAAAGAGACUAAACACAACUCACCUACUCUCUUCCAGCAGCCGCUUGUUUGUAGCAAGACCUCAGGCCAGUCCAUUACGGACUACUGUGGGGUGACGCAGCUCAAGGAAGAACAUUUGUGAUCAUUUCUUCAUGAAAAUACAAUCAGACCGAGAGGCUAAGACAGAAGAACGACCGCGUCUGCAGUGCAAAAUGAUUAAUAUGGUGAUUAUUACUUCAAGGAAAUGAUCAAGAAAUGAUUAUUAACGCUCUUUCUUGAGCUGCGGCACCCCAGUCGACGGACUCGCCUGAGGUCUCGCUACAAACAAGCGGCUGUUGGAAGAGAGUAGGUGAGUUGUGUUUAGUCUCUCUGCUAAAGAAAUCAGGCAAAGCUAAAAAGAUGUUUGGUGGCUAGGACUAUGGCUAGGACCCUAUAUGUCCUGUUGAUGAAGUUAGGUGCUGUUCUGAGCAUUAUUUGUGGCUAUAAAGUGGCGUUUUGAUUGAGGUUUGUUUUUGGCUCCUCAGACCGCUGUGUAUUGCUAUCCUGCGGUCGUUACUAAAGUUGGUAUAACUACAGAAGCAAGCGGUCGGCAACAUUCAUCUCUCGAGGGGGUGUCUAACUCAGAGUUGCAGUGUGUUUGACCCUAAAUUUAUUUUACACGAGAAUAUCCCUUUAUAAAUCCUUCUGCUCAGCUUUGUAAGGCAUCAUUUGCUGUUUGAGCAGCAAAAACGAAUCAGCUCAGGAGAUGGCGAUGACCUUAAGGUGGACUCUUCACUUUGGAUACAAAAGUUGGAUCUCGAAAGGAGAGUUUGUUUGAAAUCUCCUCGCAGACUUUUUCAGGGGGUCCUUGGUGCGAACUUCCAGACAGAGGAAGUCUGAGCUGUAAUGAGCUGUUAAAACUCAUAAUAAUACAGUAUACCAUUGCUUGCCAGCUAAGGGUGCUAACUGAAAGUACAAAGUCUACGUAGAGCAGUACAUCACUCUAUCAUCUGCGUAAAGAGUGAAAGUUGCUCAGGAGAUGUCUUGAUUGAUACCAUUUAAAUAAAGAAUAAACUUCAGUGGUUCCAAAUGGUCGGCGUAACCUGAUCAUUGCAUGCACUCUUGACCUCGGUAAGCUAACGCAGUGAUGCUAUUCUACAUAAAUAUGAGGGAAAAUCCUGCUCAGAUCAAGAUAUGAACGUGUGUUUGGAGUUACAGGUGAGCGCCGAACUGACUUUGAAGAAUAAGAAAGGGAAGACAACUGCAGAACAACAUGACGAGCUAAGAGGGGAGGAAAGUGUACUGUCAGGAAACGCACAGUAAAAGAAGAAGAAGAAGAAGACAGCAUGUAUAUAAAGUGACUUGAAGACUCCAUUACCUCGGCCCGAUCCGGGCAUAAUGAUCUGCUCACAGUGCCGGCAGUGAGGGGGAGGUGAUCGCUCUAUUCACAGCUCAGGAAAGAGAAGAGGAAGAAAAAAAAAACACAGAGAAUAGUCAGAAUGUGACAGCCGAGCAGCAACCUUGAAACCUUAGGUGGGCGAGCGAGGAGCCUGAGGGGGCUUUAUGUUAGUGAGCGAGAGAGCGAGGGGGGGAGAUCAUAGGCCGUUUGCUGCACAAUGACAAGUGCCUCCACGCGGGGACAAGGACACAUGUGACUUUCUUUUUCUCUCCUGUGUGAAAAGGACAUGGACUGUGUCUUCACUGCGCACAGAGCAGAGAUAAGAGAGGUUCUGACGUUCGUUACUGCAGAUUUCCAUCUAAGAGUGUGACGCACGUGGAUAAGCAAGGCUGUACAUGCUGUAUUUACAGUAAGCACAUUCUUUACAAACACAACAGGACAGUUUUUACAUGCACUCCAUCUCAGAAUGCUGUUCUGCAGGUUUUGACUCGUGCAUUUAGAUUUUAACUCACUCUGGAUAUUUCUUGUGUUUUGUUUCAGACGUGUGCUACUAGAAUAUGUCAAACAUUAGAUUAAAAAUGUCAGAAAAGAGUCAGAGAAAGGGAAUAGACUAAGGUGAACAGACAACCCAGAUUUCUGGGGACAGUUCCCGUUUUGGAUGACCUGUCCCCGGCUAACCCACAGGAUCUGGAACCGCUUUGCUCCGGACCGGUAGGGAAAUAUGCAAGCAUAUAGCGCCCACCGGAUCCGAUCUGCCGCCGCUAGUGGUGCGCACAGAGGCAUAUUUUUGUUUUUACUUCAUAUUAGAUUUGCAGUCAUGUAGCCAAUGUUAAAUCCUUCACAUUUGCAUUUUAUUCACUAAAUCUGGCUUUAAAUGUCCAAAACUUUUCGCCGGUGCCAGCAUUUCCACGUCAAUGUGUAUCGGCCUGGCCUGGAUGGAGUCAAACUCUUGGCCUGAAUUAUGGUCCCAGUCCGCCCCUGUACAUGACUGUCGUGGAAGUCACCACAUUGACUCAGAUUAAUAUCCUAAAAACACCACAAAUGCACGCUGAAACAAUGAGCAAGUCUAAGGUGGACUUAGGAAAAGACGAAAAACUGUCCUGGAGUCUAAAAAAAAUUGUAAUUUUGACAUUGACGUUGAAUUUUGCUUCUCAAUUGUUCAUAGGUGCGUUUUGAGUCUGCUCAUAUUUCCUGUAAAACGACAGGUGCACCUUGGCUUUCGAUCUUUUUGCAGCUAAAUCAAAUGGUUGGAUUUUGUACUCUAUGCACAAUGGAUUCAGUUUCAUCCCUCAUAAUAUCUGUUGCUGUUUCUGUUUCUGCAUUUGUUUAAGAGUGCGCAUGAUGGAGAGCUUGCAAGCUGUCCCAAUAUUUGGCACUCACAGGGUUAAGGCAAAGCUUGGAAAAUGAACAAUCUUUACUCCCUUUGUGUGAAUAAAAUUAGACUUUUGCUGCUGUUUGUCUUGCUGUGAAAGGAAAUAUGAAAUAAAUGCACAUUGUGAACUGAUUACAAACUAAGGGACAGGCUGUGUAUUUUUUUCUUUUUGCCAUUAAACUUAUUUAAAUGCUUCCCUUUCUCGAGUUAGCGAGGGCAGUCAUGACUCAAACAUGGUCGCAUGAGCGUUUAAUAACCAUAAUAUUAAUUACAGUCAUAAAUCGCCUGAAUAAUCAUACUAAGUGCUUUUACUGCUUUCAGUAAUUACAUCUAUUUCCUUCAGCAUCUUAACUGUUGGCUGAGUUUUUGUUGGGAAUCAGUAAACCUCGGUCUAAAUGAUGAAAUCUGCCCCGUAGCACAUCUCCAUGUGAAUUCCAAUUCCUGAGUCGGUGCGUUUUCUCUCCGUCCUUUGACUCUGAAGAAAUCCUUUUAUGUUGCAAUUCGUUCAAGAGCGGGGUCUUAUUUUGUAAACUCAAAGAGAAAUUCUUUGCAGAGAAAGAAAAUUGGACACAUCAAAGAACGAGGCUGCGACAUUUAAUCACCAAAUAACUCCUGAGUGCCUUGAAGAUCACAGAUACAUGAUUUAUUGCUGCAUAACAGUCUCUGAGGACAGAUCGGUCCUUUAAGAGCCUUUUAAAAUGUUUUUGUAUUGCUUCUCACUUAAUAAAACCUGCUGGAAAUGGCCAGUGUCGGCGCGCUGAAUGGAUUCAAACAGUUUUUAGGAGUUUCACAAGGUCAGCAGUAGGAGUUAGGACACUUAUACACACACUCACGCUGGAAUCUAUAAAUCCAAGCAUGUCGGCCUUGGUGCAGUAAAACCAGCAGUCUCUCUUUCUGUCUCUUUAUCAUUCCUUACAGAGUCGUCACACACCUCAACACAUUCGUCCUCCAUCCUCUCUUUCUUACCUUCGGCUUCAUUCAGCCUAUCCAGACCUUGGAGAGAAUCGUAAUUGUAUGCAGUCAGAAUGUCUGGGGAAAAAAAGAAAAAGUAUAAGGUGCACUUGAGUCCUUUUUUUUUUCAGAAAUUGUGCUGCAUGCUUCUUGCGAGAUAACCAAGUUGACUUUCUCAAACUUGUUCAAAUAUUUCAGCCGAUGCUUUGUCGGGUAUGAAAACUUUUCCUGCACAAUGACGGCCAUGCAUUUUUUGCUUCAUAAUACAAAGAGUUUGGAGAGUUUUUGACAAGCCUGGAGGUCAUUCAAGUUCUUCAGCUCAAAAAACUGGGGCUGUGUCUACAUGUCAGACUAUUUCUGGGUAUGCAGUCUAGUGUCCCUAAAAAGGAGGCCCAUUUCUUGAGGAUUCUGCACCUCAAAAUCACAGUGCUGCUGCAUAAAGCAAUAUUCUCUGACUUUAAUGGUUAAAUGUGGAGUUUUGCCAUGGCCAAAAUCCUCCAUUACCUAAACCACGACCUGGUUUUCACGCAAAUAUUGCAGAAAUUGGGAAUUAUAAAAUAGCAGCCAUCGGGGGUGAAAAAGCAAAUUCUGAAUAUAUUCAGGGGUUUUGCAAAAAUCCUCCCCUCUUUCCUGUGAAGUUGUAAGAAUGUCAAAGCAUGAAACAUAGAUAAAUCAAAAGUAUUCAAAGAGAUUGGCUUGCUAACUAAAUCGGCUUUUUGCAGUUGGUUGUCAUCCUGCAAUGAGGUGCGAAGGAAAUCAGGGAAGGCUGCAGGGUUGGUUGCAAAUGUAAGAAUGCAGUUGUGUUCAAAUAAGCAUCGAAAUAACCAACUUUAACGCCCCGCUGAAACCACACCCUUUGACCUACUCUCAAUCUUUUUAGAGUAUUUCACCCUUAAUGUGUCAAAAAUGGGCGUACCAAAUUUGGAGAUGAUGAGAUGAAACCUUCAUAUAAAAGUUCACUUUAUCCUGGACCCUUUAAAAAUAAAACCGACUGUUAAAAUCGACUAAUUUUUCUAGAGACCUCCAUACAAUCGGACUUUAUUUCAAAUCCAGUGGCUAUUUAAGUUAAAACAAUACCAAACCCCAAUAUUAGAUGUUAUUCCUUAGAUUUUAUUUCCAUAUUUUGUGUCUACAUUCAGACCAUUCAAAUAUAUAUGACUUGUUAAAACUGGGUGACUUAUUUUAAUGGUUGGCGUGGUUUUGAUUGGGCUUUACCGUCAUGAAAAUCCAGUUUCCCCUCAAGUCUCUCCCCAAGCUGUAAACCUGAACCUAUAAGAGAAGCGGGUCUUUCCCCUAGAGUCCUAUUUCCUUCCAUCCUCAUCAUAUAUCCUCCCUUCCCUCUUGUCCACACUUGUCUGUGUACAGUUUUAUUUUUACAAGGACAUAUACAGCCCGGGUGACAUACUGCCAGCAAUUUCUUGUUGACUUGUAUCUCCGUUGUUGGCCAAAGUGGUGGUGCUCCAGUAACUGUCAGGUAAUAUGGAUUUAAGGUGGUAUUUAUUCUGGAAAACUGUGAUUUUUGUGUGUUUGUAAUACUCGUCCUGCCAGCUGCUUCGUCAAAUACCUGCUGUCGGUAAAAUUGAAGAAGAUGUAGUGCUGCAGGAAAAGAAAAAGAGCGCGUAGGAGAGGUUGAAGGAAGAGUUUAUCUAUGUGUAGAACAUGAUAUUUUCUUCACUUUAAGACUCCGGAGCUGCACUGCUGUCAACAUGAUGGAUAAUGUUUUAGGGCGAGGUCUCCCGGGAGUGAUCUGUUGUCUGUACAAUCAACUGUGGAGAGCCGAGACGGGAGGAGAAAGAGAGAAUGAGAGAAACUGACAGAGGGCAGCAGACAGAACCACUCCUCAUUACAGCCAAAUCCUGCUGGGGGUUCACCAAACUGGGGCGAUUUGAAGUUGAAAGUUUAAAGAAUUUCACUGUCUCCGUCUCGGUAACAAGGAAAGACACGCACACACACACACGCGCAUCUCCAGUCGAUGCACACACUCACUUGGCGCCCUAGCUACGGCCUAUGGGAACUCAUUAUCUUCCCAGACGAGCGGUGCCACAAGUCGCCAGGUCGGUCUCUUGCCACCGUGUCACUUUGGGUUCCAGUGUAUGGGUUGUGGAGACAGUAGGGGUGGGAAGAGGACUGAAAGACAUGGUGACAGUUGACCCAAGGGGGUUUAAAAUGGUCUUUGGGGGCAUCGCUUGGUGUGUUGGUGGAAAGUUUUCUCGAGGGGAGGUUCUAAAAGUGUCAGUCCUGGUAAACAGAAGUACGGCUAGCUGAUUGGAAACAGACCCAAAUGAUUCGCCAGAACCACGACACGCUGUUAAAUCCUUCAACUUAAUCCCCAGUCAGCUUGAAGCCUCAUUUUGAUAUCCUCAAUAGAAGAAUAUUAAAGGCAUGGUUGACGAUCUGAUUCCUCGCUUGGUCACAUUUCCUCUUCGACUCUGCCCUUUUUUCUGUCGGCUUGCGUCUUCUUUCUACUUUUACCCGCUCAGAGCUCCGAGGAGGGCCGGGAGAGUGGGAGGGGACGAGUCGGAACUACGGGAGAGGGGUGUGUCAAACACAGCGAAGUGAUUGGAUGGAGACGCGGAGCGGGAGAUUGAACAUUAGGAGCUGUCUGGGAUGCAAUAUUUUAUUUGAAGGACAGUAGGGGAAAGUCCCGCCUCCUUCGCUUCUGAUUGGCUAGAAAAGCUGGAAACGUCGGCUCUGUACAUCGAACAGAACAUUACAGAACAUUAUCGCACUUCUGAAUCUCCUAACCCGAUAGAUGAUGACAUUUCACAGCCAUUUGGAAUAACCAAUCAGAGCAAAGCACUUCUAGCCAAUCAGAGGCGAAGGCGGGUGGGACCUUCCCCUACCAUCCUCCAAAAAAAAAAAAUCCUGUCCGGGAUGGAUGGCGCCCAUUGGUCAAUGUUUUUGCCAUAGGACCAUGAUCGCCAUGUAAACGAGGUUCGUAAUAAUUACCAAUCCCUCCAAUCGUCAACCAUGCCUUUAAGGGUUAAAUCAGUCCUUCUGAGAAUUUAACCUUUCACCUUUACCGUUCCCUUCGAUAGGACAUCCACCUCAAAUUCCUUGAGAGUCUGGCAGGUAAGUGACAGGUAAACCUGCUAUCUCAGGAGCAGCAGCAGUAAGCGUUAAUGCGCUGACCCUGGAUGGAGGUUAGCAGGUCAUCCACUCACCGCUGCACAGAUGAUCUACGCACCGACUCGCCGAAAUAGGUCGAUGGCAUAAACUAAAUCCAAUAGGAAUAUUGCUUUUCAUUGAUUUUUUAUCCACCUUGGGAUAAUACACAUAUUUCAGCGACCGUGUGUGUGUGUGUGUGUGUGUGUGUGUGUGUGUGUGUGUGUGUGUGUGGGCGCAAAUGCAUAAACACAUGAUGGAUAAAACCACAGAUGAUUGGUCGUUACAGUGUGUGUUGACUAAUGCCUUCAUCAUGGGCGCCAAUGGAAACGUAACUCUUCCCGGACAUAUAGGAGACAUAAUACAGUAUAAGACUAUAACUUAGAGCGAGUGUGUUAUUAUUAGUGUGCCGGGUGCUCGCUCGCCCGCCCGCCCGACCGCUGCAGAGAGAGACAGAGGAGAGUUAUUUGUUAAAUGCCACCACGACUGUACCGGGGUCCUAAUUGGAUUUCCUCUCUCGCUCAAAAUGUCCCCUCGACUUUUAUGGAUAUGACCUCUGAGUCGGUCACAUACACAAGCAGUCUUACACCGGGACACACACACAGAGACACGUAUUUGGCAAAUGUUUGACUUUCGCAUGCAGGAAAAAUACAUUCAAAGACUACAAACGGCGCAUUUUCAAGAGAUGAACUUCAUUUUAAUUUCAUAUUUAGGCUUAGUAUUUGUUUAAGGGUAUCAAUUAAAAUUAGAAAUAAACAAAAUGAAAGUUAAACUACGAUUGAAAAUACAUUAAAUCAAAUCUGACAGCCCCGCGUCUCAAAAAGAGCCAUUCAGGAACCCAUUAGAAUCAGUUCAUUAAAAAGAUUCGUUCAAAAUAUCUGUUCACCGAAUCACCGAAGAUUAAGCGCUUGACGGGAGGAGCCUGUGACUUUCUGAACGGUUCAGGAUUCAGUUCAAUUCAUGGCGUCUGGGACCGGUAGACAAGAGUGUUGUGACUGUGUUGUUUUGACAAACAGAUUUGUAAAAAUUGACUCAUUUAUAAAUCACGAGGUUUUAAGUGGACUGCCCAGUGGUUUGCUAGUUGUCUACUUGGUAAAUUGGGCUCAGUGAGUGAUUCGUUCAUUGAACGUUCAGAAGAAUCCAAACUGAACAUGCACAGUUCCCUCGCAAAUCGCUGCAAUGACAGGAUCAGUCACACAUUUCUCAAACUGCAGGUUUUAUACACGACUUGAUACAUGCUGUGUCCUACUAAAUUUGUUAGAACAACGGGGAACAGUGGUCAUAUAAGUGUAUCCCUCAAACAAAAAUGAUUCCAGAGAGUGGUGUUCACUGCAUGAUUCGUUCACCAAGUGAUUCAGGCCUCGGUGCGUGCAGACCCUCGCUCACCUGACAGCUCAACUGAAGUGAGAAACGAACGAAUCACGACAAAGUAAUUCCGUUCAGUAUGCUCACUUAAAAGAUUUGGUUCUUUUGAAUGAAUCGUUCGCGAACAACACAACACAAAAUGGGAUAAUACAUUCAUGAAUCUCCUGUUCUGGACCUUUCUUAAGCUUUAUCACAAAGUCCAAACAUUGUAACAAUAUAUGUAACAAAAGGAGUUCCACAAGGGUCUAUGUUGGGACCACUGGUAUUCAUUCUUUAUAUGUCUCUCGUCCAAACUUUCACUCUAUGCAGAUGACAGAGUGAUGUACUGCUCUAUAUAGACUUAGCACUUUCACGUCCUCUUCCCUUUCUGGUUCUGAGCGUUAAAACUAAACUUUUUAUACAAUUUCCAACAACUAUUGAUCAGUUUGAGUUUAUAUUUCAUACAGCUCCACUUUAGGGCCAAAACAACGACUCCAACUUCUUUUCUACUCUCCCGUCUGCUUCGUAAAAUGACUCCUGACAUAUACAAAGUGUACUCUGUGCUGGUGAUGUACUGUUAAAAUGUCCUCAAAUCCUCCUCACAAUAUGCGCCUACAAUCUGGCAGGGAAGCAUGUUGUUUGUUCCUUUUUGUUCUUAUGUUUUAUCGCUAUAUGGCACCCGAAACUGCGUGAAAUCUGUGCCACGCACCUUGAACCCGAACUAGGGCAGAGACGCGCGGAAUGAAAUCUGCCUCGCUCUCUCUUUUGCAUACACAAAUAGAGCACCCCUUAUGUACAAAUCCACGACGACAACAACAACAACAACAACAGAAAUAAGAGGAAAAAAAAUCUCAUCUGAUGGAUAUGUUCUGCUGACUUUCAGUGUUUAUUCAUGCUGUUUUACUUGCUCUGCCUCAUCAUUCUGGAAAACAAACCUGUCCGCCUGUUUACAGAUGGCAGAGCUCAGAAUAAUCCUCAUCUACACCCACACGCGCUCGCUCCAUGCAUACCUUUUUUCCCUCUCUUCAACAUUUUCUACUCCUACUUUAAUAACCGCUCGGGCCUCCAAACUCCCACACAUCUGAAUCUAUAUAUUUGCCAUAUGUCUUUUAUCAUUAAAAGCCUGACAACUCGUCUAAAUCCAGAUGCUGGGACUCUGAUUCGUGUCAGAAAGUACACAUGCGAUAGAUCGGUUCAUUUUUUGUAAUUAGAGCUAAUUAAUGCUAACGAGGCUAUCAACGAGGAAUCAUGUGUGUCGGCACUGUUUAAUUACCGUAUGAAUAAAUAGAGCGGGGCGUUAACAUGAAGUCAGCAUAUUGUUAACUGUUUGUGUUUGGCCAACAUAGAUCCAGGAAAUGUGUUCAUUUACAUACAUGAUAAGGGACUCGCCCCGCACGGCUAUUAGCAUGUUAAUGGCGGCGUUUACUACACCGCCAAAAAAGGGGACAAUCAAACCUCUCAGCGGGUGUAAAAAUAAGCCGCCUCUCUGCAGUGAAGCGGGUUUUAUUUAUGAUUUAAAGCAGCUUUGCAUUGGGAAAUUUAGCGACAAUUCAAGGAGGGGGUAUUAAAUGCGCCUAAAUUAAUAAAAUCUCUCCACGGGGUUUUAAUGGCGGCUAUUUUCACCUCGAAUCAUCACUCCUUCUGUCUUUCUCCUUUCUCAAUGUAAGCAAAAAGGCAGAAUGUCACAUUUGAUAUUCACAACAACCUCCUCGCCCAAUCCCCCAGAGUCACCCGGCGCCAGAUGACGAGCAGGCUGCCAGGGGUCACCCGGCGAACCGGUCGCUCUCUACACACCCGCCGGUUCUCUGCGGAAGUGACCUAAUAACUGUGCCAGGCCUUCGCUGCGCCCCUGCCAUCUCUGCCCUCCGCUCGGCGGCCACAGAUCGUGAUCUCGCCCUCGUCGCCUGCCUUCCAGGAUUUCACCCCCCUCCCCCUGCUCAACUCUCAACCCUUCAUCUUCAUCUUCUUCUUCUUCUUCUCCCGCCUCGAGGAAUCCUCAGAUCCGCUCACCAGUUUUACGAGUUGGGAUUUUAUGAGCUUCAUCUACUUAUUUUUCCCCCUCUUCUUCUUCUUUUUCUCCCCGCCUCCUAACAGACGUUUCUCAGCUCAUUUCCAUCGGAUGCCCUACAGGGAAUCGCCGAGCGUAAAGUUGUGUCUCUCCCCAGCCGCCGCUCAACUUCUGCGCCCAUAAAGCAAAAUAAAAACGCGCUUUAGUGAUUUGUCAACUUGUGUCCUCGAGGGAGACGUAAUGUGGAGAUGGGCUAUCCUUGAAAUCCACUGUUUGGAGACGCUGCAUGAGCCAUCUUUCAAAAGUGUUCCUGAACAACUGGUGCGUUUGUUUGAAUGGGUGUGUGCGCCGCAGUGACAAGUGAAAAGAUGGUUCUUCCGCAAUGCGCAGGAAGUUUAAAGUGUAACACAGCCUUUGUCUGUAAUGAUGUGAAAAUGUGCACUAAGGUUUAAAACUUCCAUAACUUAAAUGUCAUGGCCCUGCUGUCUGAAAGAUGGUCUUGGUCUUUUUUUGUCUCCUUUUAUGUAUCCAUGUAAAUUAACAUACAUAAACUAUCAGUAUUGAUAUUAGUAUUGGCAAAAUCAUCACAGAAAGUAUCAGUAUUGCUAUCUGUAUUGUUUACUGUAACUCUGCUACAGAAAAGUGGUAAAAGUAUUGUUUACUGUAUCAGUAUUGAUGUAAAAACUGAAAUCUGUAUCUGUAUCAGUUUUGGUUUUAGGCCAAUAUACUAAAUUAUUAGAACAUGCAUGUGCUCUAACUGUAUAAUUAUCAAUGAAAAAGCUACAAAACUGAUAAGAAAGCAAUAAAAAGUAUUGGUACUGGAAUCAGUUCUGGUUGAAUUGAGGUAUCGGUUUAGAAAUAUCAGUGUGUAUUGCUUUCUUGUGUAUGUAUAAGAGAUACGAAAAUGAUAAAAUAAAAAAAAAUUAAAAAAGUUUCAGUGCUGGAACAUGUAACUGUAUGAGUAUCAGUGUCUGUUGAAUUGCUGCAAAAAUAUUGGUGUCAGUACAAAUAUUAGAAAAUAUGCAACAAAAGUAUCAGCAUCUGUGAAAUUACUACAAAAACAGAGGAUGUUUUGGUAAUUUUAACUAUAUCAGUAUCUAUGAAAAGCAAGAAAAGUAUUGGUAUCCGUUUAAGUAUGGGUCUAGGUAAAAGUAGUGCAAUCUGUAUUCAUCUUUAUAACUCAGAGAAAGAGUAUCAGUGUCAGUAAACAGAUACAAAAAUUUUGGUAUCGGCCUCAGUAUCUGUACUCAUAUUGCUGCAAUAGUAUUGGUUUAGGUCAAUAUACUUAAUAAGUAUCAGAACAUGCAUGUACUCUAAUUGUAUAAGUAUCAAUGAAAAAGCUAUAAAACUAUUAAGAUAGCCAUAAAAAGUAUUGGUAUUGGUAUCUGUAUCAGUUCUGGUUGAACUGAAGUAUCGGUUUUGUAAUAUUAGUACUGUAUUGCUAUCUGAAUAAAAGAUACAAAAGUGACGAAAUUGGUAUUUGUAUUCAUACUGGUAAAAUAGUUCCACAAAAUGAAGUUUCAAUGCUGGUACAUGUAUCGGUAUGAGUAUCAGGGUCUGUUAAGUUGCUGCAAAAGUAUCGAUGUUCCUACAAAUAUUAGAAAAAAAUGCAAUAAAAGUAUCAGCAUAUGUGAAAUUACUACAAAAAAGAGGAUGUUUUGUUCAUUUUAACUAUAUCAGUAUCUAUUGAAUAGCCACAGAAAGUAUUGGUAUCCGUUUAUAAAGUAAAAUAAGUAUGGGUCUAGGUAAAAGUAGUACUAUCCGUAUAUUCAUCUUCAUAACUCAUAGAAAGAGCUUCAGUAUCAGUAAACAGAUACAAAAAUGAUGAAACUGGAUUUUGUAUCUGUAUUUGUAUUCUGAGUAUCAGUAUCAGUAAACAGAUACAAAAAUGUUGGUAUCGGCUUUAGUAUCUGUUCUCAUAUUGAUGCAAUAGUUACAAAUAAUAAGGUAUCAGUGUUUGUAUAAGUAUAGGCAUUAGUAUCAGUUUCAGUUAAAGUGCUGUAAAAGUACCGAUAUUGGUAAAUUUACUGUUAUAAAAGCACCAGCAUUGUUAUCUGUAUUGGUAUCUCUAUAAUUGGCUAAAAUAUACCAGUAACUGAAGAAUUGCAUCAGAAUCACUGGUACAGAUAUCUGCUAUUGGUUAAAUUGCCACAAACAGUAUCAACACCAGUGUUAGUAUCGGUAACUGUAUCAGUAUUGGUAUCUGUAUCAGUACCAGUACAAUUGUAUUCUGUACUUCCAAAAGCUGGUGUCACACAUGUCUCUUGUGUAAAUAGGAUUUGCAAACCUGAUAUCUACGGUGAGCUCAAUAUCUGUCAAGCCCGUUUUAUGCACUUUUUAUUAUUGCUGUACUGUUUUUUAAAAUGUAGUUUCUCCUCUCUCUGAAACAUCACUCUUUAUUUUAUUUGGACCUUUUGGUUCCCUGUGAUAGGUCACUUCAAGUUCUCACUUCUGUGCCAAAAAAUCAGAGUCCCACUUUGUCCCUCUCAUCUAAAAUCAAGCCGCCCUCACUGCUGCACUUCAUCUCCUUUGUCACUCAGACAUGACUCCCCCUCACUCCUCCAUUGUUCCUCUCCUCUUCCUCGACCCUCUCUUAACAUACACCCGGAUGAACGACAGCUCCUCGUGACCUCCCGUUAUCUCCCAUCCAUUCCUGCUUCCCGGCCCCGCCUUCGCAUUCACACCCUUCCCAUUACCGUCAGUCGCCCCGCCACGUGCUGACCCCCUCCUUUUACCGUCCCUUACCGCUCGGACGGGUGGCAACAAUAGAGACAGGAGAGCCAAAAUGGCAGCCGCCCGCCCCUGUCUGGGGCGUCCCCUGAGGGGCCGGUCGCGUAUCUCCGCAGCCAAUCUUAAUGCGCGUCUUCCGCAACAAAUUGGCCAGUUUACUUAAGAGUCUGCUGUGGCCCAUGAAUAUUUGAUGUGGUCAGGGCUGCGGAGAGGUGGGAUACAAUGACAGGGGCUUAUCUUAUUUAGCCAGACAGAGGGGGUCGGAUCCUGGCCCGACCCGGAGUACUCCAAAGCUCUUCUGGGAUCUGGAAGAGCCCGAUCCAGGAGAAGAGUCUGAAAACAUCUUUUUGUCCCA
rnacentral:lncRNA from 1 species